rnacentral:lncRNA from 1 species
UUUUUUUCAUCAAAUUGGGGGUCAGAUUUUUUUUUUAAACACUCCCCCCCUUUUUUAAGUUAAAUGGUCUCCCCUUAGUAAGUGUCAGAUUGUCUGAGGUAGUUUCUGUCUUGUUCAAUGAGGCUCUUUAGAAUUAGUGGAAAGAAGCAUUUUAUCAUGUUAAAAUCAAGACAAACAAUAGUCACUAAAUUAUGUUCCUCUAAUCUGCCAAAGCAUGCUACUAGAACAGUUGUAACUCUUGAGAAUAAACGUCCUUCUCAAUUUCUCUUUUCUAUACAACAUGACCAACUCAAACACUGUCACUAUAAAAAAAAUAUGACAACUAAUUUUAUCAAACUACUACC